AUUGAACGCUGGCGGCAGGCCUAACACAUGCAAGUCGAGCGAGCGGCGGACGGGUGAGUAAUGUCUGGGAAACUGCCUGAUGGAGGGGGAUAACUACUGGAAACGGUAGCUAAUACCGCAUACCAUCAGAUGUGCCCAGAUGGGAUUAGCUAGUAGGUGGGGUAACGGCUCACCUAGGCGACGAUCCCUAGCUGGUCUGAGAGGAUGACCAGCCACACUGGGACUGAGGAUCGGUCCAGACUCAUACGGGAGGCAGCAGUGGGGAAUAUUGCACAAUGGGCGCGAGGCUGAUGGAGCCGUGGGGGGUGUGGUAAGGAGGCGCUCGGGUUGUAAAGCAGUUUCAGCGGGGAGGCGUUACCCGCAGAAGAAAGACGGGCGAACUCCGUGGCGGCAGCCGCGGUAAUUC
rnacentral:rRNA from 1 species